AGUGAACGCUGGCGGUAGGCCUAACACAUGCAAGUCGAACGGCAGCACAGUAAGAGCUUGCUCUUACGGGUGGCGAGUGGCGGACGGGUGAGGAAUACAUCGGAAUCUACUUUUUCGUGGGGGAUAACGUAGGGAAACUUACGCUAAUACCGCAUACGACCUACGGGUGAAAGCAGGGGAUCUUCGGACCUUGCGCGAGUGAAUGAGCCGAUGUCGGAUUAGCUAGUUGGCGGGGUAAAGGCGCACCAAGGCGACGAUCCGUAGCUGGUCUGAGAGGAUGAUCAGCCACACUGGAACUGAGACACGGUCCAGACUCCUACGGGAGGCAGCAGUGGGGAAUAUUGGACAAUGGGCGCAAGCCUGAUCCAGCCAUACCGCGUGGGUGAAGAAGGCCUUCGGGUUGUAAAGCCCUUUUGUUGGGAAAGAAAAGCAGCAGGUUAAUACCCCGCUGUUCUGACGGUACCCAAAGAAUAAGCACCGGCUAACUUCGUG
rnacentral:rRNA from 1 species